rnacentral:rRNA from 1 species
CAUACCCUUUGGUUUGGAAUAACUCAGGGAAACUUGAGCUAAUACCGGAUAAGCCCGCAAGGGGAAAGAUUUAUCGCCGAAGGAUUGGCCCGCGUCCGAUUAGCUAGUUGGUGAGGUAAUGGCUCACCAAGGCGACGAUCGGUAGCUGGUCUGAGAGGAUGAUCAGCCACAUUGGGACUGAGACACGGCCCAAACUCCUACGGGAGGCAGCAGUGGGGAAUAUUGGACAAUGGGCGCAAGCCUGAUCCAGCCAUGCCGCGUGAGUGAUGACGGCCUUAGGGUUGUAAAGCUCUUUCACCCACGACGAUAAUGACGGUAGUGGGAGAAGAAGCCCCGGCUAACUUCGUGCCAGCAGCCGCGGUAAUACGAAGGGGGCUAGCGUUGUUCGGAUUUACUGGGCGUAAAGCGCGUGUAGGCGGGAUGGUACGUCGGUCGUUGAAAUCCCCCGGCUCAACCGGGGAACGGGCGCCGAUACGGCCACCCUUGAGGAACGUAGGGGGACCUGGAACUUCCGGUGGAGCGGUGAAAUGCGUUGAGAUCGGAAGGAACGCCCGUGGCGAAAGCGAGGUCCUGGACGUUUACUGACGCUGAGACGCGAAAGCCAGGGGAGCAAACGGGAUUAGAUACCCCGGUAGUCCUGGCCGUAAAC